rnacentral:rRNA from 1 species
GACGAACGCUGGCGGCGUGCCUAAUACAUGCAAGUCGAGCGGGACUCUUCGGAGUCUAGCGGCGGACGGGUGAGUAACACGUGGGCAACCUGCCUGUAAGACUGGGAUAACACCGGGAAACCGGUGCUAAUACCAGAUAAUCCUUUCCCUCCCAUGAGGAAAAGCUGAAAGUCGGUUUCGGCUGACACUUACAGAUGGGCCCGCGGCGCAUUAGCUAGUUGGUGAGGUAACGGCUCACCAAGGCGACGAUGCGUAGCCGACCUGAGAGGGUGAUCGGCCACACUGGGACUGAGACACGGCCCAGACUCCUACGGGAGGCAGCAGUAGGGAAUCUUCCACAAUGGACGAAAGUCUGAUGGAGCAACGCCGCGUGAGCGAUGAAGGCCUUCGGGUCGUAAAGCUCUGUUGUUAGGGAAGAACAAGUACCGGAGUAACUGCCGGUACCUUGACGGUACCUAACCAGAAAGCCACGGCUAACUACGUGCCAGCCGCCGCAGUAAAAC